GUGGAUAUAGCUCAGAUGGUAGAGUGCUUGUCUCACUCUGCACAAGGCCCUGGGUUCAAUCCCCAGCACCACA
rnacentral:tRNA from 1 species